GACGAACGCUGGCGGCGUGCUUAACACAUGCAAGUCGAGCGGUAAGGCCCUUUCGGGGGUACACGAGCGGCGAACGGGUGAGUAACACGUGGGUGACCUGCCCUCAGCUCUGGGAUAAGCCCUGGGAAACCGGGUCGUAAUACCGGAUAUGACUCCAUGACGCAUGUUGUGGGGUGGAAAGCCUUGUGCGGCUGAGGAUGGGCCCG
rnacentral:rRNA from 1 species